rnacentral:lncRNA from 13 species
CCCGCUGCUUUGGGAUGCCCAGGAGGAGCACCCCGGUGUUUUAGGCACCAAACCCGGUGUUUUGGGGUGCCCAGGAGGAGCACCCCGGUGUUUUGGGCUCCCAGGAGGAGCAGCCCGGUGCUUUGGGCACCAAACCCGGUGUUUUGGGAUGCCCUGGACCCCAACCCCAGUGUUUCGGGAUGCCCAGGAGGAGCACCCCGCUGCUUUGGGAUGCCCAGGAGGAGCACCCCGGUGCUUUGGGACGCCAAACCCGGUGUUUUGGGCUCCCAGGAGGGGCACCCCGGUGCUUUGGGACGCCAAACCCGGUGUUUUGGGAUGCCCAGGACCCCGAUCCCGGUGUUUUGGGCUCCCAGGAGGGGCACCCCGGUGCCCGUGGGGACUCACACGCAGGCGGGUUUGUCCUCCUGCACCAGGAAGCGGCAGGUGCCGUGGAAGCAGAACUGCCGGUGCGAGUCGGGGCACUCGUGGAAGUGGGACCUCACCGCCGCCGCCACCGGAGCUGCCAGGAAAACAGGGAAAAACGGCGGCUUCGGGAUCCUCCUGGGCUGGCACCAACCCAGCUGUGCUUUAGGGCCAGCGGGGAUCCCCGGGACACCAAACCCAGCUUUUUUAGGAUCCCCAGGACACCAAACCCAAGUUUUGGGAUCGCCAGGACAACAAACCCAGCUUUUUUGGGAUCCCCAGGACACCAAACCCAAGUUUUGGGAUCCCUGGGACACCAAACCCGGCUUUUUUGGGAUCCCCAGGACACCAAACCCAGCUUUUUUGGGAUCCCCAGGCCACUAAACCCAGGUUUUUGGAUCCUUGGGACACCGACCCCACUGUUCUGGGAUGGCCAGGAUACCAAACCCAGGGUUUUGGGCACUAAACCCAGCUUUUUUGGGAUCCCUGGGACACUAAACCCAGUGUUUUGGGCACCAAAGCCGGGGUUUUGGGAUCCCCAGGACACCAAACCCGGGGUUUUGGGAUCCCCAAACAACAUUAUUUGGGAUGGCCAUGUGGGACACGAUCCAGCGGCCACCGACAGAGCCCAGGCGGCUCCUGCUCAAACCAGCAGGGAAAAUAAUCCCAAAGGAAUUUCUUAAAGAGCUUAAAAGGGAGGAGGAGAGAGUUAAACCCUAAAGCAGGCCGGGGCUGCUUUUGGGAUCCUGUUUCCCAUUACAUCCCACGCUGGUUCGAAUUAUCCUGCGGGAAGGGAAUAUCCUGCUCCGGGAUGAUCCCGGCAGCGAGGCACAUCCGAUCGCUGCCCUUUCAAAGCCACCUCCAGUUCCUGCGCCGUGGAUUUAUGGCCGCCCCAGAAGGAGCCGGGGAUCCCAAAACCGCUCCGAGGUUUUUUUUGAGGAAAGCGCAGGAAUUCCCCGCGCGGGCGGAAUGAUGGAAAAAGGGGGGGGGGUCCCGGUGGGAAUGACCCCCCUGAGCCGCCUCUUUUUGGGGGGACAGAGGGGCCCCCCCCUGGCCUGGAGCAUUCCCAGCAGCUGUUUUCCCUGGAUUUGACCCCAUUAAACCCACAGAUGUGGGAAUGCUGCAGGAUCCUUGGGAUAUUUCCCGUGUCCCCCGCUCUGAGGAGGUUUGGAGGGCUCAGAGCUGGGAUUUGGGGUGGGAAUCACUGCUGGAAUCCUCUCCAGGGAAACCCUGACAGCUCCAUCCCUGGGGGUGGAUUUAUCCCAGAUUCCUGCCGCUGGAAUAGCCCCACAAAACUCCCUUUUUUAGGGUUUUACCCCUCAAAUCCGCCAGCCCCCCCCCUCCCCCCGGAUGGGACCCUCUGUCCCUGCGGUGCAUCCUGAUCCCGAAGUGUCCUGGCUCCCGCUCAGCCCCGCUCGCAGCUGUCGCCCACAUUGCAGCUUCCUCCUCCUCCUCCUCCUCCUCCCACCCCACAGAUCCCGCCCUGUCCCUGUAGGGUUCCCUCGGAACGGCCCCUGCCCUGCAGCCCCCGGCAUGGGCACGAUCCCAUCGGGAAUGGGGCUGCCAGCAUCCUCGGGGUGACGGGAAUGCCACGGGGCUUUGCUCCCAAGCGAUGCCGUUGAGCCAUCCCCUUUUCCACCCCGAAAGGGAGACUGUCCACCCCAAAAAAGGACAUUUCCCAGCCCCAAAAGGGAGAUUUUCCACCCCGAAAGGGAGAUUGUCCACCCCAAAAAAGGACAUUUCCCGGCCCCACAAGGGAGAUUUUCCACCCCAAAAGGGAG